rnacentral:snRNA from 1 species
AUCGCUUCUCGGCCUUUGGGCUAAGAUCAAGUGUAGUAUCUGUUCUUAUCAGUUUAAAAAGUAAGUGACAGUGAAUGGAAGGUAUAAUUUAAAGGGUUUUUUUGUUGUUGUUUUGUUUUUACCAAUA